AUGAAAACGUCUUUUUUUCUCUGUUCUGAUAUAAGAACAGUUGAAUUUGAAGGCUUUGGGGUGCCACAGGGUUCUAUUCUGGAUCCUGUCUUCUUUGUAUAUGCUGCCCCUAGGUUCCAUUUUU